rnacentral:lncRNA from 1 species
AGAUAUACAGAGAGAGAUAAUGGCGUACAGUGCCUGUUUCCUACACCAGAGCGCAUUGGCUUCCUCAGCCGCACGAUCAUCAUCUUCCUCCUCAUCCCAGCGUCACGUGUCACUCUCCAAACCUGUUCAGAUCAUGUGUAAAGCUCAACAGCCUCAUGAAGACGAUAACUCCGCCGUCUCCCGUCGUCUUGCUCUCACUCUCCUCGUCGGCGCCGCUGCUGUUGGUUCCAAAGUAUCUCCUGCUGAUGCCGCCUACGGUGAAGCUGGUGCGAACUUUUUCAAGAAAAUCGAAUAACCUUGGAUCAUUUCAUUUUCAGACCGAAUCUUGAAAACAUAUUUCUCUGGUUUUUUUUUUCUUGGUUUGUUGCAGCAAAUGUGUUUGGGAAGCCAAAGACGAACACAGACUUCUUGCCAUACAAUGGAGAUGGAUUCAAAGUGCAGGUGCCAGCAAAAUGGAACCCAAGCAAAGAGAUUGAGUAUCCAGGACAAGUCCUUAGGUACGAAGACAACUUCGAUGCUACUAGCAAUCUCAAUGUCAUGGUCACUCCUACUGACAAGAAGUCCAUCACUGAUUACGGUUCUCCCGAAGAGUUCCUCUCUCAGGUCUUUUACUUUACUCCAUUAUCUAUAAAGAUGAUGAUGUUACAAAAUAUAAUGAAGUGUGAGACUGAGUGGUGAUUUUGGGCUUUAUGCAGGUUAAUUACCUCCUAGGGAAACAAGCUUACUUCGGUGAGACUGCCUCUGAGGUAAACUUCCCAUUGUCAUUUGUUUGAGUAACCUGAAGCUGACAGAAUAGAAUAUGAGAAUCAAACACCGUAGAGAGAACACAUUCUCUCCCUCGUUGUCAACUGAUAAUUGAAACUCUUUUCAACUGAUAACCUCGAAAGAUUUCUCUAGUUUUGGAUGAGUCUUACAAGCAAGAUUUUUACCUUAUGUGGAGUUGGGUUGUCAGGUCCUAACUGUGUGUGAAUCUGACGUUUCUUCCAGGGAGGCUUUGACAACAAUGCAGUGGCAACAGCAAAC